CCUUGUGCCAGCAGCCGCGGUAAAACCAGCUCUUCAAGUGGUCGGGAUAAUUAUUGGGUCUAAAGCAUCCGUAGCCGGUUUAGUAAGUUCCUGGUAAAACCGGGCAGCUUAACUGUCCGUAUGCCAGGAAUACUGCUAUGCUAGAGGGCGGGAGAGGUCUGAGGUACUACAGGGGUAGGGGUGAAAUCUUAUAAUCCUUGUAGGACCACCAGUGGCGAAAGCGUCAGACUGGAACGCGCCUGACGGUGAGGGACGAAAGCCAGGGGAGCGAACCGGAUUAGAUACCCGGGUAGUCCUGGCCGUAAACGAUGCAUACUAGGCAAUGGUGCGGCUAUGAGCCGCAUCAGUACCGUAGGGAAACCGUUAAGUGUGCCGCCCGGGAAGUACGGUCGCAAGGCUAAAACUUAAAGGAAUUGGCGGGGGAGCACCACAAGGGGUGAAGCCUGCGGUUCAAUUGGACUCAACGCCGGGAAACUUACCAGGGGAGACAGCAGAAUGACAGUCAGGUUGACGACCUUACUCGACGAGCUGAGAGGAGGUGCAUGGCCGUCGCCAGUUCGUGCUGUGAGGUAUCCUGUUAAGUCAGGCAACGAACGAGAUCCGCGCCUUUAUUUGCCAUCAAGAAGUCACGACUUCGUUGGGAACACUAAAGGGACCGCCGUCGAUAAGACGGAGGAAGGAGCGGGCAAAGGCAGGGCUGU
rnacentral:rRNA from 1 species